UUCUGCUCCCUCGCUGUUCUCAUGUCGACGGGACGUUCGCGCUAAGCUGGGCGUCGAUAUGGUGACCCCGGGUGAGCCCGGUGGUGGCCAGGUCGCCUAAAGAGGAGCGAACCGGCCCAGGGCGGAAACGCAGCAUGUUCGCGAAGGCG
rnacentral:lncRNA from 1 species